rnacentral:miRNA from 1 species
UUAUUGUCACGUUCUGAUU